AAAUAACAAAGUAAAAUUACACAUCAAAAAUUAAUUCAAGACUAAAAAUAAUACUCACAGUACACAAUGCUUGAUGUAAAUAAAUAUAAAAAGUUUAUGUGUCCAAAGGACAUCUUCCUCUGCAAAUACUAUCAUAUUUACAUGUUCAAAUAUGGGUAAAAAAAAUUUAAACUGUGAAAUCUGGAUCAAAACUCAUUUUUAUGCCCCAUUUAUGGGCUUUAUGUUUUCUGGUCUGCUUCCAUUCGUCAGUUCGUCCAUCCAUCUGUCCUGUUUCAAAAAGUUUUUGGUCAAGGUAUUUUUAGUGAAGUUGAAGUUCUACCAACUUGAAACUUACUACCCAUGUUCCUUAUGAUAUGAUCUUUCUAAUUUUAAUGUCAAAUUAGAGUUUUGACCACCAUUUCACGGUCCACUGAACAAAGAAAGUGAUAGUGGGAUUGGGGCAUCCGUGUGUGUUUGUCAGUUCGUCCAUCCAUCUGUCCUGUUUCAAAAAAUUUUUGGUCAAGGUAUUUUUAGUGAAGUUGAAGUUCUAUCAACUUGAAACUUACUACCCAUGUUCCUUAUGAUAUGAUCUUUCUAAUUGUAAUGUCAAAUUAGAGUUUUGACCACUAUUUCACGAUCCACUGAACAAAGAAAGUGAUAGUGGGAUUGGGGCAUCCGUGUGUGUUCGUCAGUUCGUCCUUCAAUCUGUCCUGUUUCAAAAAGUUUUUGGUCAAGAUAUUUUUUGUGAAGUUGAAGUUCUAUCAACUUGAAACUUACUACCCAUGUUCCUUAUGAUAUGAUCUUUCUAAUUUUUAUGUCAAAUUAGAGUUUUGACCACCAUUUUACAGUCCACUGAACAUAGAAAGUGAUAGUGGGAUUUGGGCAUCUGUGUGCUAUGGACACAUUCUUGUUUUCAUUUUUUUUUUAUAUUUCAUAACAUGAUGAAAAUAAGAACAAGUGUACUAUGUUUUAAAUUGAUGUAAACACAACUUUACAGUAUGCUAUCAAUAAUAAAUCAAUACCUGAACUUGAUGCUACUGUAGGCAGAACAUAUUACUAGAAAUAUUAUGUAAAUUACAAUUUAUACAAAGUAAGAUAUUAAAAAAAGAGUUCAUUAAAAAAAAGGUACAUGUUGAACACUAAGUCAAAUCACAUAACAGAGAUCAGUGGUAUAUUUGUAUGCAUGAUUCUACUAUGUUUUAAUACUCUGUUGCAUAAUAACAGUCUCUGCAGAUGGACAAUGGUAAAUCAGCAUAACCAAAUUGAAAAAGAUAUCUUUAGAUGGAAAUCGACAAGUCAUCCAUAUACAUGUAUA
rnacentral:lncRNA from 1 species